GCCUUAGAAGCUAAAUAGGUGCAGCAUUCGUUUUGUAAUCGAAAGAUAGUAGGUUCGAGACCAACCUAGGGCA